rnacentral:rRNA from 1 species
UACGGGGGGGGCAAGCGUUGUUCGGAAUUACUGGGCGUAAAGGGCUCGUAGGUGGCCAACUAAGUCGGACGUGAAAUCCCUCGGCUUAACCGGGGAACUGCGUCCGAUACUGGUUGGCUUGAGUUUGGGAGAGGGAUGCGGAAUUCCAGGUGUAGCGGUGAAAUGCGCAGAUAUCGGGAGGAACACCAGUGGCGAAGGCGGAACUCUGGGCCGGAACUGACGCUGAGGAGCGAAAGCGUGGGGAGCGAACAGG